UAGGUAUUAUUAGUUACGCCUUAUGUGUUACUUUAUCUGUUUUAAAUAUUUUGAUUAUAUUUUUUGAGUAAUAAGUAAGUUACUGUUUUGUAUUUGUAUUGUUUUUGCGAGACUAAUUCUAUUGUCCUUUGGUGUUUAAUAUGAAUCAUGCUCAAGUUAAUUAGGUCUUAUUUGUUAAUGUUCCUUAUGUUUGUAUUCUCUCUUGAAAUUGACUUAUUUAAUUUUAAGUAAUGAGUGAGUGCUAUUUUGCAUUUGUUUUGUUUUGCGAGAAUUUAUGCUAUUACUAAAUGACUCGAUUGGAUGUACCUCUUAAUGCAUGCCUAUGCCUAGGUACUUUCAAAUACAUUUUUCUACAGCCUUUACUUAUUGAGGUACGUGACCAUUUGGCUUUAAAUGUUGUUUGAUCUUGGACUGUAAUUAACUUGAGUUUGAUUAUCCCGGUUUCAACUUAAGCUCAAGUAAUAGGUAUUAUUAGUUAACGCCUUUAUGUGUUACUUUAUCUCUUUCAAAUAUUGUUUGAUUUGAUUUUUGAGUAAUAAGUAGUGACUUUUUGUCUUUGUAUGUUUGGGGGCUAGGACUAUUGCUAUGACUUUGGUGUUUAAAUUAUCAGCUCAAGUUACUUAGUAUUCUUAGUUAAUGCCUUCUGUUGGUAAUUUGUCUUUUUUAAAUUAUACUGAUUUAAAUUUUAAUUAUGAGUAGUGACUAUUUUGCAUUUGUUUUGUUUUGCGAGGACUUAUGCUAUUGACUAAGGACUGCGAUUGGAAUGUACCCGUAAGUUGCGAUCCAUGCCUAGGUACUUUCAAAUAAUAUUUCCACAUUUUUAAAUAUUGAGGUAACUAACAUUUGCUUUAAUGUUUGUAUCUGUAUCUUGGACCGUAACUAACUUGAGUUUGAACUUCCCUGGGUUCCACUUUAACUCAAGUAAAUUAGGUAUUAUUAGUUAACGCUUUUGUGUUACUUUAUCUCUUUCAUAAUGUUGAUUUGAUUUUUGAGUAAUAAGUAGUGACUGUUUUGUAGUUUUAUAUUGUUUUUGCGUGAGGACGGGAAUAUAUUGACUUGGUGUUUAACAUGAUCAAGCUCAAGUUACUUAGGUAUUUAUUAGUUAAUGCCUUAUGUUUAAUUUGUCUGUUUGAAAUUAUACUGAUUUAAAUUUUAAGUAAUGAUAUGACUAUUUUGCAAUUUGUUUUGUUUUGUGAGGACUUCUGGUAUUGACCAAGGACUCGUUGGUGUACCUCGUUAAUUGCGAUGCCUAUGCCAAGUACUUUCAAUACAUAUUCGACACCUUUAAAUAUUGAGGUACCGUAACAUUUGCGUUAAAUGUUUUGUAUGUUUAAUCUUAGCCCGUAAAUUACUUGAGUUUGAAGUUCCUCGGGUUCACUUUAAAGCUCAAUGUAAAAUAGGUAUUGUUAGUUACCGCCUUUGUUGUACUUUAUCUUCUUCAAAUCAUGUUGAUUUGAAUUUUUUGCGUAGAAGUAGUGACUGUUUUGUAGUUCUAUUGUUUUGCGAGGACGAAUGCUAUUGAAUUUGUGUUUAACAGAUCAAGCUCAAGUUACUAGGUAUUAUAUUGAAUGCCUUUGUUGUAAUUUGUCUUUUUGAAAUUAUACUGAUUUAAAAUUUUUAAGUAAUGAGUAGUGGCUAUUUGCAUUGGUUUGUUUUGCGAGGACGUAUGCUAUUGACUAAAGGACUCGAUUGGUGUACCUCGUUAAUUGGCGAUGCCUAUGCCUAGGUUACUUUCAAAACAUUUUUGCACACUUUUAAAUAUUGAGGUACGUAACAUUUUGGGUCUUUUAAAUGUUGCAAUGAAUCUUGGACGUAAUUACUUGAUUUUGAACUUCCCCGGAUUCAACUUUAGCGCAAGCAAAUUUAGUAUUAUUAGUUAACGCUUUUGUGGUUACUUUUAUCUGUUUUAAAUAAGUUGAUUUAUAUUUUUGCGUAAUAAGUAGUUACUGUUUUGUUAUGGUAUUGUUUUGCGAGGACUAUGCUAUUGCUUUGGUGUUUAACAUGAUCAAGCACAAGUUCUUAGGUAUUUUAUUAAUGCCUUAUGUUGUAAUUGUCUUUUUGACAUUGUACUGAUUUAAAUUUAAGUAUGAGUAGUGACUAUUUUGCAUUUGUUUGUUUUGCGAGGACUUAUGCGAUUGACUAAAGGACUCGAUUGGAUGUACCUCGUUAAUUGCGAUGCCUAUGCCUAGGUACUUUCAAAUACAUAUUUCCACACUUUUAAAUAUUGAGGUACGUAACAUUUGCUUUAAAUGUUGUAUAUGUACUUGGACCGUAAUUAACUUGAGUUUGAUGUUUCCCGGUUCAACUUUAAGCUCUAGUAAAUUAGUUAUUAUUAGUUAACCCUUUUAUUGUUACUUUUAUCUCUUUCAAAUUUUUUUUAUUUGCCUUUUUGCGUGCCUCCGUCGUUCCUGUUUUGUCUUUUUUACUUGUUUUUUGGGCGCGUCUACUGCUCCUUAUCCUUUGUGUUUUUCCCCUUCUCCCUCUCCCUUUCCUUUCGUUC
rnacentral:lncRNA from 1 species